UGAUCCAGCAUACCGCAGUGAAUGAUGAAGGCCUUAGGGUUGUAAAGUUCUUUUAAUAGGGAAGAUAAUGRCGGUACYYAUAGAAAAASCCCCGGCUAAYUCCGUGCCASCAGCGCGCGKUAAGACGGAGGGGCGCUAGCKUUGUUCGGAAUUAUWGGGCGUAAAGGGCGCGUAGGYGGAUUAGUAAKUUGGGAGUGAAAGCCCGGKGCUUAMCCUCRGAACUGCUUUCAAAWCUGCUAGUCUUGAGUGAAGUAGGGGGUGAUGGAAUUCCUAGUGUAGAGGUGAAAUUCUUAGAUAUUAGGAGGAACACCGGUGGCGAAGGCGGUCCCCUGGAUUUCAACUGCCGCUGAGGCGCGAAAGCGUGGGGAGCAACCAGGAUUAGAU
rnacentral:rRNA from 1 species